rnacentral:lncRNA from 1 species
CCUCCUCCUUGGCCCGUCUCUCCGCCGUCUUAGCAUCCACCUCCGCCUCCGCUGCCCCCAGCUCCGAAGCCAGCUUGGCUCGCUCCGCUGCCCCGCCCUCUGUCACGCGCUUGAUCCAUGAUUGCACACGCUGGGAGGCCGCCAGCGUCAAUGCCGUAUUGCCGUACGCGUUCUUAAAGCUGGUGUGUGCGUUGUGUGUGAGCAGCAAGCCCACCACCUUAGGUCGACCGCAAGGCGGGAGGCGGAGGGAGAAGGGAAGGAAG